rnacentral:snRNA from 1 species
AUGCUCCAUUAGCACGUACUUUAAAAUUAGAACCAUACAGAGAAGAUUAUCAUGGCUCCUACACAAAGAUGACAUGAAAGUUCCUGAACUAGGUUACCUUUUU